CGGCAGGCCUAACACAUGCAAGUCGAACGGUAGCACAGGAGAGCUUGCUCUCUGGGUGACGAGUGGCGGACGGGUGAGUAAUGCAUGGGGAGCUGCCCAAUCGAGGGGGAUACCAGCUGGAAACGGCUGCUAAUACCGCAUACGCCCUGAGGGGGAAAGGUGGGGACCUUCGGGCCUACCGCGAUUGGAUGCACCCAUGUGGGAUUAGCUAGUUGGUGAGGUAACGGCUCACCAAGGCGACGAUCUCUAGCUGGUCUGAGAGGAUGACCAGCCACACUGGAACUGAGACACGGUCCAGACUCCUACGGGAGGCAGCAGUGGGGAAUAUUGCACAAUGGGGGAAACCCUGAUGCAGCCAUGCCGCGUGUGUGAAGAAGGCCUUCGGGUUGUAAAGCACUUUCAGCGAGGAGGAAAGGUUGAUGCCUAAUACGCAUCAGCUGUGACGUUACUCGCAGAAGAAGCACCGGCUAACUCCGUG
rnacentral:rRNA from 1 species